GAUGAACGCUAGCUACAGGCUUAACACAUGCAAGUCGAGGGGCAGCAUGAAAGUUUGCUUGCAAACUUUUGAUGGCGACCGGCGCACGGGUGAGUAACACGUAUCCAACCUGCCUCAUACUCGGGGAUAGCCUUUCGAAAGAAAGAUUAAUACCCGAUGUCAUAGUCCUACCGCAUGAUGGGAUUAUUAAAGAAUUUCGGUAUGGGAUGGGGAUGCGUUCCAUUAGUUAGUUGGCGGGGUAACGGCCCACCAAGACAACGAUGGAUAGGGGUUCUGAGAGGAAGGUCCCCCACAUUGGUACUGAGACACGGACCAA
rnacentral:rRNA from 1 species